rnacentral:rRNA from 1 species
ACGGUCAAGUAUUAAGGUCCCGCCUGCCCAGUGAAGCCUUUUUAACGGCCGCGGUAUCCUAACCGUGCAAAGGUAGCGUAAUCACUUGUCCCCUAAUUAGGGGCCCGUAUGAACGGCUAACUGAGGGUGAGACUGUCUCUUAUGGCCAAUCUAUGAAACUGAUCUCCUAGUACAAAAGCUAGGAUAAACCCACAAGACGAGAAGACCCUAUGGAGA